rnacentral:sRNA from 1 species
AGCGAAUCCGAGAGAAAGAGGGAGAGGAUGAACGUCUGCCUCCCAAAUCUAGGAUUGACUACAACCACCCUGGACGAGUUCUGCUGCAGAAUCUUACCAUGUCCUACUCUGGACUGUACCAGUGCACAGCAGGCAACGAAGCUGGGAAGGAAAGCUGUGUGGUGCGAGUAACUGUACAGUGAGCAGUGACAGGCAUAGUGGCUGGAGCCCUGCUGAUUUUCCUCUUGGUGUGGCUGCUAAUCCGAAGGAAAGACAAAGAAAGAUAUGAGGAAGAAGAGAGACCUAAUGAAAUUCGAGAAGAUGCUGAAGCUCCAAAAGCCCGUCUUGUGAAACCCAGCUCCUCUUCCUCAGGCUCUCGGAGCUCACGCUCUGGUUCUUCCUCCACUCGCUCCACAGCAAAUAGUGCCUCACGCAGCCAGCGGACACUGUCAACUGACGCAGCACCCCAGCCAGGGCUGGCCACCCAGGCAUACAGCCUAGUGGGGCCAGAGGUGAGAGGUUCUGAACCAAAGAAAGUCCACCAUGCUAAUCUGACCAAAGCAGAAACCACACCCAGCAUGAUCCCCAGCCAGAGCAGAGCCUUCC